UUCCGCCCAGGCGGCCCCCACGCGCUUCCGGUGGUGGCCCUGUCCCUGCCGAGCGUCGCCCGGGCCCGAGUUUCCCUGCUCUCCCCCGCUUCCUCCCGCAGUUUCCCUUUUCCCGACUCAGGAACGCUGGCCGCUCAGGAACGGGUCGGAGCUGCCGCCGUUCUUCCCGGACCUGGAGCGAGGCCCUGGCCGAGAGGAAAGAGGUGACGGGACUCAGCGAAACAUUCGGGAAGAUUCUCACAGUGCUCUUCUCGAGGUGGCUGACAACAGAGGAGGCCGCCCCGAUGCCAUCCCCACAGUAGCUCGUGCACUCUCUGCUGGCAUGGCCGCCGCAGGCCGAGUGCCACAGCAUAACCAACAUUUGGUGUCGUUCAGACUUGGAUAGACCACCAAGGACCUGCUAUUACCUAUGCCCCUUGCCACCUCCUCCCCCAUCCAGCGAGACCACGAGCGCACGCAUCCCUUGCCUCUACUGGACCCCUACACAGCUACCACUACUGCUACCACCAUGGUUCUUCACCACGUUUUUCUGUGUCGCCAGCAUCUUGUCAAACAGAAAGUUCCCAGCCACAG